rnacentral:rRNA from 1 species
AUUUAGAGGAAGUAAAAGUCGUUUCAAGGUUUCCGUAGGUGAACCUGCGGAAGGAUCAUUACUGAUUUGCUUAAUUGCACCACAUGUGUUUUUCUUUGAAACAAACUUGCUUUGGCGGUGGGCCCAGCCUGCCGCCAGAGGUCUAAACUUACAACCAAUUUUUUAUCAACUUGUCACACCAGAUUAUUACUAAUAGUCAAAACUUUCAACAACGGAUCUCUUGGUUCUCGCAUCGAUGAAGAACGCAGCGAAAUGCGAUACGUAAUAUGAAUUGCAGAUAUUCGUGAAUCAUCGAAUCUUUGAACGCACAUUGCGCCCUCUGGUAUUCCGGAGGGCAUGCCUGUUUGAGCGUCGUUUCUCCCUCAAACCGCUGGGUUUGGUGUUGAGCAAUACGACUUGGGUUUGCUUGAAAGACGGUAGUGGUAAGGCGGGAUCGCUUUGACAAUGGCUUAGGUCUAACCAAAAACAUUGCUUGCGGCGGUAACGUCCACCACGUAUAUCUUCAAACUUUGACCUCAAAUCAGGUAGGACUACCCGCUGAACUUAAGCAUAUCAAUAA